GAUGAACGCUGGCGGCGUGCCUAACACAUGCAAGUCGAGCGAGAAGAAAUGGAAUGCGGUUUCGGCCAAAUGAAGUUUUGGAAAGCGGCGGACGGGUGAGUAACGCGUGGGCAACCUGCCCCAUACAGAGGGAUAGCCACUGGAAACGGUGAUUAAUACCUCAUACUUCGCACGGGACACAUGUUCUGAGCGACAAAGAUUUAUCGGUAUGGGAUGGGCCCGCGUCUGAUUAGCUAGUUGGUAAGGUAACGGCUUACCAAGGCGACGAUCAGUAGCCGACCUGAGAGGGUGAUCGGCCACACUGGAACUGAGACACGGUCCAGACUCCUACGGGAGGCAGCAGUGGGGAAUAUUGCACAAUGGGCGCAAGCCUGAUGCAGCAACGCCGUGUGAGUGAAGAAGGUUUUCGGAUCGUAAAACUCUGUCCUAAGGGAAGAAAAAAUAGACGGUACCUUAGGAGGAAGCCCCGGCUAACUACGUGCCAGCCGCCGCCGUAAC
rnacentral:rRNA from 1 species